rnacentral:rRNA from 1 species
CGACCAGACUCCUACGGGAGGCAGCAGUGGGGAAUAUUGCACAAUGGGGGAAACCCUGAUGCAGCGACGCCGCGUGAGUGAAGAAGUAUUUCGGUAUGUAAAGCUCUAUCAGCAGGGAAGAUAAUGACGGUACCUGAGUAAGAAGCCCCGGCUAACUACGUGCCAGCAGCCGCGGUAAUACGUAGGGGGCAAGCGUUAUCCGGAUUUACUGGGUGUAAAGGGAGCGUAGACGGCAUGGCAAGUCUGAAGUGAAAGCCCGGGGCUCAACCGCGGGACUGCUUUGGAAACUGUUAAGCUGGAGUGCAGGAGAGGUAAGUGGAAUUCCUAGUGUAGCGGUGAAAUGCGUAGAUAUUAGGAGGAACAUCGGUGGCGAAGGCGGCUUACUGGGCUUUUACUGACGCUGAGGCUCGAAAGCGUGGGGAGCAAACAGGAUUAGAUACCCGAGUA